AGGGCCACAGCAACCUAACAGCGAUAUCUUGCUGGCGCCAGCUGUGCUUCAGUAUUUAUUUAUUAAGAUCACAAUAUUUACACAGUAUGAACUCGUCGAGAUGGUGGGGGGAUUGAGCAAUGCUUCGGCAGCUAAAUUUCAUCCGUGUUUUCAAAUGGAGCUUUAAAAAAAAAAAUAAGAAGAACUUGUAGGCUGUGUUCUGUUUACUUCUCUGGAUAGAAAAUUCAAGUGUCUCAUUCCAGCCUGGUUCUGUUUGCUAGCAGCUUGGAGUGUACACCCUGGAGAAAGCUGUGCAGGCAUGAACUGCAGCAGAUGCCGAAAUGAAACCUGCUUGUGUAACACAGAGAUGCAUCUUUGUGCUGCCACAGAUGCGUGGAUUGACACAGCAAAGAAACGAGGCAGUGAGUUUCCAGCAGCUGAUCAUCACACUCAGCCUAGGACUCUGACUAAAUAAUCUCCAUUUCACUUGAAUUCUUACCUCUUUCCAUUUGCUUUUCUGUAAAAUAAAAAAAAAAAAUCAUCAUGCUGGGUCACUACACAAAAGUGGUGGUCCAGACAGUGGAAGACAAAUCAAAAUUGCCCAUGUGCAACAAUCUUCCACCUGGAACUGGUUUGGAAGGCAUGAAAGUUGCAAAAUUAAAGGAGUCACAGAGAGUAGUAGAGCCUUGGCACAAUAAUAGAGCCCCUGAAGACAAGUACUGCAAGGCCACUGGUGAAGAUGAAGAUUCUGCUUCAUUGGAAAGCCCAGGUUUGAACGGGUAAUAUAGAGAACUAGAGGAUCAGAUGAUCCUGAAGAGAGGCCAGAAGAGCCCAUUGGUAAAGGUACAGGCUCUGUUGCAAAGAAGACCUCAGGAUAUCAGAAAUGCAAGCACCAAGGACUUCCACUAAGGACAGUAGUGGGUGUGAACAGGCCUAAACCUACUACAAAAACUCAUGUGCUACAGUUGGAGCUGCUGAAGCUGUUUGGAGCACAGAAGAUCAUGAGUGACUCUGAAAUGUUGGACACUGAACUAUAGAAUUUGGAUUUAAUUUGUGGAACUUCGGCUUUGCUUUGAUAAAAUUGCUACUAUUCCAAUAUUCUUUCAUUUGGGAAUGAGAAGUAUUUAACUUGGUUUUGAUUUUAUAGAAACCUACACUUAAGAGACUUUUAACUUUUAAAGAAACAUUUAACUUUUAAAGUGUUGGAAUUUUUUAAAAGACCCUGGGACUUCUAAAAAUUAUACUUUGAUUCAUAGUUUGAUAUAACAUAAAAUAUUUGAGACAGGAAAAAAUAUGGUUCAACAGUGGUGUGUUUAUGUGUCAAAGUGACAAGCAGUGGCCUGUGCUGUUGGCUUUGACUGUCAACUUAGCACAAAGCAUGGGGAAAAGGAAAACUCAAAUGAAGAACCUCAUAUAUCAGAUUAGCCCAUUCUCAUAUCUGUGAAAAAUUGUGUUUAUUGAAUGGCUCCAUCCUUAGGCAAACAGCCCUGAGGUAUGCAAGAAAGUUUGUUGAGUAGAAGCCAGAAUAAGUAACAUUGCUCUAUGAUCUCUGGUUCAGUUUCUUCUUCUAAGUUCCUUCUUUGAACUCUGGUCCUCAGUUCCCUCAGUGAUGGUCUGUUACUUGUAAGCAAAAUAACUGAAUUAAACCUGUUCCUAUUCCAA